rnacentral:lncRNA from 1 species
UUUGGCCUGAACAUAUUAUCCGAAACUUCACUAUUCCCUUAGUGAGCCCGUUUGUGCCUAAUUUGCUCCUUUUUGUUUGAUGAAAACUCACAUAUAUUGAGCCUUAGCCUGUUUUAGCCUGCUUUUGUCCCUUGAAAACAUGUGAAUGCACUAGAUUAUGACGAGAUGAGAAGAUGAGUACUCCUAUAAUUUUAGUGUGUUGAGAGAUAGUUCAUUGAUUCUAUGGGAUAUAUAUGCUGUUAAAAAAAAAAAAAGAAAAAAAAGAAAAAAAGAAAAAUAGAGUUCUAUAAUAAAAUGCAUACGUUUUGAGGAUUGUGGAUAUGUUGAGGAGCUACUCUAGAGUUUUAUUGAUGAAGGUUUAGUGUGUUUGCAUGUUUUCAAUCAUAUAUUGAGCCUCUUUGAUUCCUUUUUCUUGUUUAUCCCACCUAUACGUACCCUAGCCCCAUUACAACCAAAUUGCAAGACCUUUUGAUUUGUGCAUUGAUUCCAUAUUUUGGUGGAGAUAGUGACAUAAGGGCGAGCUGUGUUUGAAGGCAUAAA